rnacentral:misc_RNA from 1 species
UCCGGCUUAUCACCGGCGGUUUCUUUAGAGUGCCCAACUAAAUGAUGGCAACUAAAGACGAGGGUUGCGCUCGUUGCGGGACUUAACCCAACAUCUCACGACACGAGCUGACGACAGCCAUGCACCACCUGUUAUGGGCCCUUUCGGACACCACAUCUCUGUGGCUUUUCCCAUAAUGUCAAACCCAGGUAAGGUUCUUCGGGUCGCAUCGAAUUAAGCCGCAUGCUCCGCCGCUUGUGCGGGGACCCGUCAAUUCCUUUGAGUUUUAGCCUUGCGGCCGUACUCCCCAGGCGGGGAACUUAAUGCGUUAGCUUCGGCACGGAUGGAGUCGACACCACCCACACCUAGUUCCCAUCGUUUACGGCUGGGACUAC